UAAAACUUCGUCCCGAACCAGCCGACCGCGUCGUCAUUUCUUAGUCAUAAUUCGUGGGUCAUUCGUCCACAGGGAGGCACUUACGCAAUAAUAACUUCUGAAGAUAAUUAUUUAUUAUUACCUUCGAAGGUACGUAGAUAUGUACGUACGUUCGUACGUACGUACGUACGUUCGUACGUACAUACGUACCUUCAUUCGUAAUACCGUCGAAGGUAAUAAAUAAAGCAAGAAGCAAGCAAUAUGCAAGCAAACAAGCAAGCAACAAUUGAGGCUACUUCUCUACACAUUCUACCGGGUUCAUCCAACUUCCCAGCUCGAGCCACGAGCAAUUCAACAGGUGAAAUACUUCGCACGAAAAGUGCAAUAUACCUUCUCGAAGAAACUUCUGAGCGCUGCCCCCGGCCACAAGUCAAACACGACGAUCUUUCUUGAUCUUUCCAUAUUUCUUCAGGUUUCUCACGACUUGAAGAAACAGGAGCAGAGAGGCGAUGUGAUCCGCGCGGCGUACGAUGAUGGCGAUUACGACGUGUUCAGCUUGAAAAACGAGCAUGUGCAGCUUUGUCCCGUCGAUGAACUAUGUGAUGAAUGGUGCGAGUCCCGGUACCCUUGGUGCCCUCCACGCCGCUAUCCCGCACCGUUCGACCCGCGGCCGGAAUGAACCAACCAUCGUAGACUUGUCAUGGGCGAUGUGCGCCGGGCGAUUCGUUCAAAUUGUUUUUUUUCAUUUGGCCACAAUAUUUCGACGAAAAUCGUGCCCCUCGCAUGCGAAAUCAACCGCCAGUCUCCAAAAGCGAUCCGCGGUAGUCCUGAAAAUAUUUUCCACCGAUACUAAAACAAACUGCAGUAUGUAUGAUUCCUUCGAUGGUGCGAAUGAAGGUACCUUCAUAAGUCGUAUUUAAGCAGGUUUCGAUCGAUGUUAGGACAAAAUUCAACGCGUCAGCUUGCGCUCGAUCCGAAUCUGCCUCGGGGUAUCUCAUCAUCUAUAAGGGAACUUUUAAAGUUCAUACUCCAACGCUGCGGCACCAACCCUGGAGGAGCCCACAACAACGCUGCAAAGCUACGUGGACUCCUGAAUACAAAUUGUUGUAGCAAGAAUUUUGUCAUCGGAUUAUACAUGUUUCUGCAGUGAACUUUUCAACAUGGGCCACAACAA
rnacentral:lncRNA from 1 species